UAGCCAGACUCCUACGGGAGGCAGCAGUGGGGAAUAUUGCACAAUGGGGGGAACCCUGAUGCAGCGACGCCGCGUGGGUGAAGGAGCCCCUCGGUGCGUAAAGCCCUAUCGGCAGGGAAGAAACAGACGGUACCUGACUAAGAAGCCCCGGCUAACUACGUGCCAGCAGCCGCGGUAAUACGUAGGGGGCAAGCGUUAUCCGGAUUUACUGGGUGUAAAGGGAGCGUAGACGGCUGUGCAAGUCUGAAGUGAAAGCCCAGGGCUCAACCCUGGGACUGCUUUGGAAACUGUGGAGCUAGAGUGCUGGAGAGGUAAGUGGAAUUCCUAGUGUAGCGGUGAAAUGCGUAGAUAUUAGGAGGAACACCAGUGGCGAAGGCGGCUUACUGGACAGUAACUGACGUUGAGGCUCGAAAGCGUGGGGAGCAAACAGGAUUAGAUACCCCGGUAG
rnacentral:rRNA from 1 species